GAUGAACGCUGGCGGUGUGCCUAAUACAUGCAAGUCGAGCGAACAGACGAGGAGAUUGCUCCCUUGCCGUUAGCGGCGGACGGGCGAGUAACACGUGGAUCACCUACUUAUUUGUCUGGGAUAACUUCGGGAAACAACAGAUACUAAUGGCUCAUAUAUUCAACCGCUUGGUUCAAUAGUGCUUGACGCUUUUGCUGUCUCUUAUAGCCGGUUCCGCGUCGCAUUAGCUAGUUGGUAAGGUAACGGCUUACCAAGGCAACGAUGCGUAGCCGACCUGAGAGGAUGAUCAGCCACACUGGAACUGAGACACGGUCCAGACUCCUACGGGAGGCAGCAGUGGGGAAUCUUCCGCAAUGGGCGAAAGCCUGACGGAGCAACGCCGCGUGAGUGAUGAAGGUCUUCGGAUCGUAAAACUCUGUUGUUGGGAAAGAACAGAUGUAGAUUAAACUAUGCACGUCUUGACGGUACCUAAACAGAAAGCCACGGCUAACUUCGUG
rnacentral:rRNA from 1 species